GAAUGUGGUGGAAGUGAUGAUAUACCAGUUACAGACACACUUUUUAAGAGGAUUGCAGCAUCCAGGUCCCCCUCUAAGGUUUCUCAUUCUUGGAACAAUUCUUGGAACUCACCCAUCAUACUGUGAGAAACCCAAGCCACAUGUAUAGGACACAUGUUGAUGAUCCAAUUGACAGUCUCAAGCGAACUCUUUGCCAAUAACCAGCAUCAAAUGCUGCCAGGUAAAUGGGAAAUCUUGGCUGUCCCAGCACAAUUGAGCCCAUAGAUGAUGCAGCCAAAUCCAAUUUAUAAGAAACAAGCAACCCCAUUUAGUCCAGUCAACACUAAAAAUAGCGUGAAAUAAUGAAAUAGUUAAGCCAGUAACUUUUGGAGUGGUUUGUUAUAAAAUAAUAGAUAAUUAAAAUAGGAGUCAGCUGUGUAUAGAGGUUAAUGAAGCCAUGAGAUGGUUAAGACAAUCAAUAUGUGACAUGAAAGAAAAAAGGCUAUCUUAGUCUGUUUUCUGUUACCUGAAUUCCAUAAACUGAGUAAUUUAUAAAGAAAAUAAAUGUAUUUAUUUCUUACAGUUCUAGAGGCUGAUAAGUCCAAGCAUAUGGUGCCAGCAUCUGGUGAGGCCUUCUUGCUGUGUAAUCUCAUGGCAGAAGAGUGGAAGGACAAGUGAGCACAUGCAAAAGGGAUUGUACAAGACUUAUCUUUUAGUCUCCAGAGGCAGAAAAAAAGCAGAAAAGGUUGUUGAAAUUCUUCACAUUGAUUUCAGGGCAAUGAUCUCAAACGGCGCAGUGGGAACCCGCAAAUUUAAGAGGGUAGUUUCCCUGCACAAGCCCUUUUUUUGCCUGCUGCCAUCCGUGUAAGAUGUGACUUGCUCCUCCUUGUCUUCUACCAUGAUUGUGAGGCCUCCCCAGUUAUGUGGAACUCAAAGCUAGAGGAAACCAAAGUCAUAGAACAUCUGAACUCUGUCCAAACAUCGGUCGUAUUUCAAAAUUUCAGUAGCCACCAUCCCGCAGCCAACGAUAAUAUCUGACACUUCCUGACAUCAUGAAAGCCACCAUCUGUCUAUCACCAAAACCCUGUACUUUUUAAAGACUACUUGGCUUGAUCCUUAAUGAAGCUUCAAGUUGAAUGCACAGAUCGCUUUAGAAGGAAUACAAGGAAUAAUUGACACAAGAGAUCUCCUGGAAAAAGCCUUAUACCUAAUAUUCUUGUUUGGAGGAAGAAACUGGGAAAAACAUCUGUCAUCUCCUCACCAGACCGAGUCUCGUUCUGUAGUCCAGGCUGGAGUGCAGUGGCGGGAUCUCCACUCACUGCAAGCUCCACCUCCCAGGUUAAAGCCAUUCUCCUGCCUCAGCCUCCUGAGUAGCUGAGACUACAGGCACUCACCACCACACCCGGCUUAUUUUUUGUAUUUUUAGUAGAGACGGGGUUUCACCGUGUUAGCCAGGAUGGUCUCGAUCUCCUGACCUCGUGAUCUGCCUGCCUCGGCCUCCCAAAGUGCUGGUAUUACAGGCGUGAGCCACCACGCCAGGCCACAAUCUUUCAUUUUUAUAAUAAAUCAUUCAUGUGUAAUUGGUUUUAUUCUGAUCAUGAUGCUGAAACUAAAUGUUUUGGUCUUGGGUGAUAAUGGAAGCUUAAAGGUAAUAUCAACUACAAAGAGAGUUUUUAAAUGUUUGGCCUGAAUAUUAUCAGCUUAAAAUUUGCACUAUUCUAUACCUGUUUCCCUUACAUAUCAAUUACUACUAUAUCACAUUUCAUUGGGUAGGAAUAAUAAAUAUUUUCAUUAAAUUACUUUAAGAGAUCAUCAAUUAAUAUACAUUUUCUAAUAAUUAUUAACAUAAACACUUUAAGAUGUAUUUUAAUGCAAACUAAAGAGAUUUAGAUACAUUCUGAGUCACAGAAUAAUAUCAAGAAGCAUAAUUUUAUGUCAAUCCCCACAAAUCAUAUAGCCUUAAAGAUGACUUUUUAAAUUUGUGAUUUUUUUUUCUUUUAGUUCUGCAGGAUUUUUUUUUUGUUCUUAUUGUUGUUAACAAGGAAUAACAUCUCUUUUCAUAAUUAUAGCAACAAAGUUUAGUUAAACAAAUUCAUCAGAUUUUAGUAAAUGAUAGCAUUCUAACUCUCAAAACAGUUAUACCUAAAUAUAUUUGGUACAUGUUGUAAAACUAUAUUUAUUGUCUCAAGAGAAAAUGAAAUCUGGUUAUUAAGAUAUAUCAAGACUCUCCACUUUUUAAAUUAAGAAUAAAUCAAUUAUUGCUGGUGGAAUUUCCAAAACUAAUACUUCACCCAUCAGCCUAAUUAGUAAUUAAAUAUAUCAAUAGCAUUGAAAAGAAGAGUGGCAUAUUAGUUAAGAUGCAUGAACUAUAUAAAGGUACAAUUCUCUUUUUAAAUGCACAUAUCCCAACAAAAUUUCUUUCACAAUAUGGCUAUAAAAUCAUAUGGUGAUUAACAACUGUAAAACUAGACAAAAUUUUUUCACUGUUUUCAGAAUAUAUUACUCCUUUUGGUAAACUGCUGUGGAAAAAAAAGUGCAGCUGUUACAUACACAAAGUUAUCUCCCAUUGGCUAUGAGAAUUAUCUAAAUGUUGCUAGCUUUCAUUUGCUCUUGUCAUUUGCAAAUGUGCCAAGUCGACUAGCCUUUCUAUUAAAAUAAAGACU
rnacentral:lncRNA from 10 species